UACGUAGGGGGCAAGCGUUGUCCGGAAUCAUUGGGCGUAAAGCGCGCGUAGGCGGUUCGUUAAGUCUGCUGUGAAAGUCCAGGGCUCAACCCUGGGAUGCCGGUGGAUACUGGCGGGCUAGAGUGCGGAAGAGGCGAGUGGAAUUCCUGGUGUAGCGGUGAAAUGCGCAGAUAUCAGGAGGAACACCAAUUGCGAAGGCAGCUCGCUGGGACGUUACUGACGCUGAGACGCGAAAGCGUGGGGAGCAAACAGG
rnacentral:rRNA from 1 species